GCAGGCGCGAAAACUUUACAAUGCGGGAAACCGCGAUAAGGGGACACUGAGUGCCAGCACCAUGUGUUGGCUGUCCGCAUGUAUAAAUCACAUGUGUCAGCAAGGGCCGGGCAAGACCGGUGCCAGCCGCCGCGGUAACACCGGCGGCCCGAGUGGUGGCCAUUAUUAUUGGGUCUAAAGGGUCCGUAGCCGGUUUGAUCAGUCUUCCGGGAAAUCUGACAGCUCAACUGUUAGGCUUCUGGGGGAUACUGUCAGACUUGGAACCGGGAGAGGUAAGAGGUACUACAGGGGUAGGAGUGAAAUCUUGUAAUCCUUGUGGGACCACCAGUGGCGAAGGCGUCUUACCAGAACGGGUUCGACGGUGAGGGACGAAAGCUGGGGGCACGAACCGGAUUAGAUACCCGGGUAGUCCCAGCCGUAAACGAUGCUCGCUAGGUGUCUGGGAUGGUGCGACCGUUUCAGGUGCCGCAGGGAAGCC
rnacentral:rRNA from 1 species